rnacentral:snRNA from 1 species
AUCUUUGCGCUUGGGGUAAUGACGCAACUAGUGAGGUUCUAAUUGAUGUCCAUCUAUUUCUAGUUGAAAUCUAUUUCCAAAGCUCUUCAUAAGAAAAAAGGACAAAUCACAAAAAAU